rnacentral:rRNA from 1 species
UAGGGAAUCUUCGGCAAUGGACGGAAGUCUGACCGAGCAACGCCGCGUGAGUGAAGAAGGUUUUCGGAUCGUAAAGCUCUGUUGUUAGAGAAGAACGUUGGUUGGAGUGGAAAAUCUACCAAGUGACGGUAACUAACCAGAAAGGGACGGCUAACUACGUGCCAGCAGCCGCGGUAAUACGUAGGUCCCGAGCGUUGUCCGGAUUUAUUGGGCGUAAAGCGAGCGCAGGCGGUUCUUUAAGUCUGAAGUUAAAGGCAGUGGCUUAACCAUUGUACGCUUUGGAAACUGGAGGACUUGAGUGCAGAAGGGGAGAGUGGAAUUCCAUGUGUAGCGGUGAAAUGCGUAGAUAUAUGGAGGAACACCGGUGGCGAAAGCGGCUCUCUGGUCUGUAACUGACGCUGAGGCUCGAAAGCGUGGGGAGCAAACAGG